UUAUUGAUUAUAGUAUUUUACGUUCAUUACACAUAGUUUGUUAAAAUUUUGGCCAAAGCCAACAGUUCACAGUGUUAUGGAUAUUAUGCUUGCCUUUCGGCGCGCUCAUAAAUGAUCCUUCCGCAGGUUCACCUACGGAAA
rnacentral:misc_RNA from 1 species